GAUGAACGCUGGCGGCGUGCCUAAUACAUGCAAGUCGAGCGAACGGACGAGAAGCUUGCUUCUCUGAUGUUAGCGGCGGACGGGUGAGUAACACGUGGAUAACCUACCUAUAAGACUGGGAUAACUUCAGGAAACCGGAGCUAAUACCGGAUGAUAUUUUGAACCGCAUGGUUCAAAAGUGAAAGACGGUCUUGCUGUCACUUAUAGAUGGAUCCGCGCUGCAUUAGCUAGUUGGUAAGGUAACGGCUUACCAAGGCAACGAUGCAUAGCCGACCUGAGAGGGUGAUCGGCCACACUGGAACUGAGACACGGUCCAGACUCCUACGGGAGGCAGCAGUAGGGAAUCUUCCGCAAUGGGCGAAAGCCUGACGGAGCAACGCCGCGUGAGUGAUGAAGGUCUUCGGAUCGUAAAACUCUGUUAUUAGGGAAGAACAAAUGUGUAAGUAACUGUGCACAUCUUGACGGUACCUAAUCAGAAAGCCACGGCUAACUACGUG
rnacentral:rRNA from 1 species